GACCUCUCUGAAAAGAUUCUAAUGAAAAUAUAAUUUUUGACACGGCAACGUUUCGCUCGGUUGCCGCACCGGCUUGUUACUUACGCAAUCACAUGGUGUAGACUCAAGAUGUCAUUGUUAAAGCAUUGAUCCUGCCAACGAGCACAGACCUGCUCGACCAUUUAUUGGCGAGAAUAAAUAUUCUGGAUCGAUCUCGUAGUGAAUUUUUUGAUAGCCUGUGAUGCAAAUACAGGCCAGGAGUACCGGAACUAUCACGAAGUAUCCAGGAUGUCGUCCGACUACCAGACCGAUUUUGUGGAAGGCCCGGUUUAGCAAGUCGUCCACGCAGGUCAAGCAUACAUCAGACGUCAUUUAUCUCGUACAACGUUCGUGCCGAGACGCAUGGCAAGAAGCUGGUUUAAGAAAGUUUCAAUGGACACUGAAUAAUUCCUCCAUGCGGAACUUCACGUACCACAGGAGAACUUUGUAUUGCCAAGAAGGGGAAAACAUGCCGCGAAUCUAAGAUGAGUUUCAUGCCAAUUAUGAACAGGGAAAAUCCUAUGGUGAAAAGUAAUUGGACGAUUCUGAGGGUUCAAGGAAUUGAACGAUUUUUAAUAUGACAAAACUGAAGGAGAAUGUUUGUUGCUUGGAUGUACACAGUUCUGAAGUUCGUUUCAUCACAUAGUAGCCUUACGUGCUCGCACAUAAACAUUGGAAAAAUGAUUGGAAGUAAACCAUUGGGAACCCGCUCUUUGUAUUAAUUUACAAUAAAAAUAAGACGUACGAGGAUCGACAAAUUUUCAAAAUUUCACAUCGGUCCAGUUACAAGGGUAAUAAAAAAAAGUAUAAAAAUGGCCGCUAUCCAUAGUGUCCAUGCCAAACUUUCAAAUGAAAAUUAGUUACGCGUCGUUGUAACGCAAUAUCGAAAGGUUACGCGUUGGACCAGGUACAAGGAUGUUUUCGUUUGUCCUUCCGUUUCCUUUGGCGGAGCAGUACUCUGUUCCAGUCACUCGACUAUUGAUAAUGGACAGUGCAUAGCGUCCUUGUGAUUUUAGCCAGGAAAAUCGCCACGUAAUUAGAAAUCGAUUCGUGAUGAAAUUGAUGCUGGCGUAAUCAACGUACAACGCCAUGGACGUUAAGUACAAGGUUGUCUGAGAAAAUAUUGAGGAAAGUCAAAGUUUCAGGUUGCCUCGAUAAAAGUAAAAGACGAGUCCUUUGGCAUAAAGCAAAAUUCCAUGUUCCAAGUAGACUCGAUACGAGUGCUUAAACCUUAUGGAAAAAUGGGAGUUACCGCAAGCAGUCGGAGAUCCCGGUGACUGUCGAAUGGACUGGAGAAAGUUAUUUAACGUCAUUAGGUAACCUGUCAGCCAUGUUAGACGCGCACGAUUGAAUAACACUCUGGAUACAUGCGUAACACGCAUUUCUUUAAUCAAGUUCGGCUACUAUCAAUGACGGCGAGUAAAAUAUUUCAAUUCAUUGUUUUUCAUUGUGUAACUUAUACUAGGCAAAUGUAUAUUGAAUUUAUUUUAGUAACACGACUUAUGGAACACGGAGGAAAGUUUAUACUGCUGACCUAUUGAUCAGGGACUUACCUAAGCCAAUGACUUCUUAUGCUUUAUGCUAAUUCAUUCAUGUGUAUGUUUUUGUGGCAUACGUAAUAGUUGAAAAUUUUGUCAUUCGUGGAAUUCGUUUGGAACUGUGAAAUUACGCAUAGCAGACACGUUGUUAGCUAACAGCAUGGAAGCAACUAGUAAAAUUAUUUUUUAAUAAUUUGUUAUCUAUUAAUUUUCAUUUUUCGUCAUAUUUUUUAUAUUCCUUCAUCCAAUGACAUUUCUCUGGCUUUCGAUACUCGUAUUUUGAGCAUAUUUAUUUUUUUUACGAUUUUUCAUUUUUAAACUGAUUAUUAUGAUCUGUUAUCUUUCGUUGAACGCUGCGCUUACACUUGCUACGAGGGAAGUCAUACGUAACCCUGUGUACGGGAAGUGGCCUGGUAUCUACAUAUAUGUAUAAGAUAAUACAGAUUGAACGAUAUCGUUAGCGGACACGAAGCAGUAUUCUAAACUUAUUCAUAGUUGCUGAUAUAAUGUUUCUAUAUGGAGAUUAUAGUCUUGUCAAAAUCAUCUUAAAAAUGAUGAAUCUUAAUAAUCGCUGUGUAUUCGCUACUGGGGAAAACUUACUGGUAUAGAAACACAAGACGUAAUGAAGUAAUGACGAAAGUGCAGCCGAUAAUAGUAAAAUAGGAAAUCGUUCCUGGUCACGGAUCACUUUCACAUCACAUGCUGUGUUUAUGCGUGGAUAUCAAAUUUUCUGUUUCGAGGAAACGAAUGAAUGAGGAAGAUACUUUUUAUCGAUAGAUAUACUUUAUGGAUGAUUAAAUUCAUGAAUUAAUUUACUGGUGCAAUAGGAAAUAAUAGUAUAGAUUUAUGGAAUGCUAAUAGGACAAUUGAAAUUAAUUAAAAAAAUUUAGAUCAAAUUGUCCAAGCGUCGAGUAAAAUAAUUAGCAAGUUUUUAGCGGGGAUUUAAUUGAAGCUAAUUAAUGUAUAUGUAUUAGAAGGGUUAGUGUAAUUAUAUAAAUUUAUUUUAAUUCUAUCCGGGAGAAAUUUUAACUUCGAAUUUUUUCAGAAAUCGCUCCGAAGAUUUAUAUGGGUUACUUCAGUCUCCUUUUCUCAGAAGCUUACGUCCGACAGAAUGAAAGUGAGAGCGCAAGUGCGUGCACCGUAAUGGUCAGGAGAAAAUAUGUGGUGGGUGCGUGAAUGUACAUACGUUGUGGACGCACCUGCACGUUCCAAUAGAAUUAGGGUUGCAUUUAGUGGAGUUGUUAAGAAAAAAAAGACCUGAACCCUCAAGAUAUAAUGUAACUAGGGUCUCAGGAAUGCAAAGAAUUUUUUCGAGACGGUCCCUGACCAUUUCGAAAGGACCAAACUGACCUGGGUUGGUCCGUCAGCAGCAUCCAAGAUGGUUGCGUUCGCGUUCAAAGAUUUUUAAAAACAUAAAACAACUAUGAAUUUACGUAACGGUAAGAUUUGUAUGAUUCGAUCAAAAAGAUUUGUUCAUAAUUAUUUAAUUUGAAGUGGGUAGACUAAUUUUUUUCAUUGUUUAUCAUUAUUUAAUAAUUAUCUACAAUCUUCAGAUAGUUCAUCUCUGUCAAAUCGUAUCCUGUAGAUAUUGACAUUCUGUACACGCAAAACAAAUCUUGGCACUUUCAAUUUCCCCUCUCGAAACUAGGAAAGUGAAGGUGUUUCUCUCGUUUUAAAAGGAGCACUAGGUGCAACUGUAUGCUAUUGAGUACAACUGAUACCGAAGUACUUUCUGCAAUAAAACGUAAAUCCCACAGAAAAAAAACAGUGACGCAACAAAGCACAGACGCAUUUACGUAAGAAUAUUUUGCGUUUGAAAAUUUUUUAUUUUUGUCUUCGCGCUCGCAAAUUAAUUGAUGAAGCAGACUACCUUGUAUUAUAGCUGACAAUUUUCUCCGAAUUUUUUUUUUUUACACAUGCAUCAUAUAAGGAUCGAUUGAUGCAUUAAAAGCUACAAAUAUCGCAGCUGCGUACAAGUGCCGAUAUUAUACUAUUUAUAUCGAAUGCAUUGCAAAACUUCUCGUUACAAGUCGGCGGCGCUUGUACCACAGGGAAUCGUGGCAAGGUUGUCGAGUAGAACUUUUUUUGUCAGUUGCGAUUCGCUUAUUUCCACAUAUAUGUCAAUUUUUUCAUAUUUUUCCAUCAACUGGUUUGAACUUCACGAGAUCGAGAUAUAAAUAUUAUAUUCACCGUUAGGACUGUACCUGCUUAUGUCGGAUGGAUUAUCCAAGGUGAACUUUCUGUUACAAUUUAUCAAAAUAUUAAUUCGUUUCAAUUCAACGAAACGUUCCAUGUAACUCUAUGGUCAAAUCAUCUGCGCAAUUUUAUUCUCGAUCAUAUCACCUUUUCAUUCGUUAUAUAAAAUUUAUAGAGAGGCACGUACAUCCUGUAUGAGUUUUACGUGAUGAUUAAUUCGAUACUACCCGCAUUCAAAUUUGAUCCUCCUGUUAGAACAAUACGUGUCUGAUAUCCUUGUGAGAUGUUUCUAGUACGAUCAAUUUCUAUAGGUUCUUCCGAAAGUGUCAUCUAUAAUUUUUUUAUUACGAAGUCUAAAAAAAUAUAUAACGUAACGAAUGAAAAGUCUCGUUUGUCAUUUGUAUAUUGUGACAGGAAAAAAAUAAAUAAUUACAAAGAAAUCGAAGUAAAUUUUCACGAUCGUAACUAAUUUUAAUAUUCCUU